rnacentral:ribozyme from 16 species
AAAAUUAGUACCUUUAUUAUAAAUAUAAAAAAAAAAAAAAAAAAAAAAAAAAAUCAC